UACGAACCUUGCUAACGUUAUUCGGAAUUACUGGGCGUAAAGGGCGCGUAGGCGGCCUGCUAAGUCGAACGUGAAAUCCCUGGGCUCAACCCAGGAACUGCGUCCGAUACUGGUUGGCUUGAAUCCGGGAGAGGGACGUGGAAUUCCAGGUGUAGCGGUGAAAUGCGUAGAUAUCGGGAGGAACACCGGUGGCGAAGGCGGCGGCCUGGGUAGAUACUGACGCUGAGGUGCGAAAGCGUGGGGAGCAAACAGG
rnacentral:rRNA from 1 species